rnacentral:lncRNA from 1 species
UACGAGUAUACUGAAACAAUAAACUUGUACUGGUAUACAGACAAUUUAUUUAAAACAAUUUUGUUCAAAUUUUGAAUCAAACAUUGUUUUAUUAUAAUAAUGAAAUAAUUUCUACCUAGAAAACCUGCAAGCACCAUCAAAGAAAGGGACCAUAAAAUUCAAUAAACAGACUCGAGUGUAUCCUACAAAUAGACACACCACGAUUAGAAAAUAGAAUAUGAAUUCUUCCAUUUUUUAAUAUUUGUUUAAAAAAGCUAGUGCAAGUACAAUAUUUUACACUGGAAUUACAGAGAGUAUGCACGCAUAUGGAAAAAAGUUCUCCUGUCACAAUAAAAGCUCUUAACUAUUAUGUAUGCACUUAAAAUUUUCUUUUCAAUAAGGUGCAAAACAUCAUUCCUUCCCUAGUUCUCCUCUGUACUGGCCAUGUCAGUCUGGUAGUGCCCUCAACCCAAGUUCUGGUGUCUGUUUUCCCUUGGCCUGUGGGAGGCAUACGAUUGGAAGUUUGGUGGGUAAUGAUCUGAUAUUAAAACAUCCAGUAGUAUGAGUCUCAGAGAUGGCUCUGGAGCCAGGACUCCACUGGCUGGAAAUGAAGACUGUCUAAUCUGAAGGUCACCACAAAUACUGACAGGACUAUCUUGAAACCUCCUUUCGGCUGACACUAAUUUGGGUUUAGAGUUGAGCAGUUCAGGCUGGGGAGAUGAAGAAACCCCGCCAAAAAGGGCAGUAUUCACAGAACUGAAUGCACAGGUAUCAAGUUCAAAUGCACUAACUAAAGGAUCUACCCCACUCCUGGACCAGAAAACUGUAAGAGUAGGUGGUUCCUGUAAGAACCAGAGAAAACCUGUGCACCGAGCUUCUUGGUAACUGCUCUGAAGACAACAGCUUGAGCUAGUGUCGCCUAAUACUUGGUAUUCUGGAGGACAGUAUGUUAUCUUGGUAAGGAUUACUGUAAACAACACUUCCAACGAAGGCCUUCAGAUUGGCCACAGAAAAGGAGACAGGCUCGUUGGCCAUCCAGACAGCAAACAAACUAAAGGGAAAGAAAACGUGGGUGAAGCCUCCAAUGUAUCUGCAGUGGAAGACUUGAGUCCUUUCAGAUAAGAAAAGUUAUGGAAAUUCUUAGAGAUUGUUGUUAUUGUAUAGAUACUACCUAUUGGCCAAAUGCACUUAAUUUUAAUACAGUUGAACCAUUUGUAUGCAAGUCAUGGGGACAUGAAAAACUGAAGCCGGUGUUCCCUCCUGCCAUUACACAGGAGAAAGUUAGCUACCAGAACAGUUGCCUUCAACGAGAAGGGAGGGGACGAGAUUCUGAAUUUAAGAAUUGUAAGUGGGGGUGCUUAAUAUCCCCACAGCUGUCCAGUUUCCACUGUCCGGCUUGAUUUUUGGACAGGAAUACUAUUCUGAGAAGUUGCUCCGCAUUCAUUCUGGCCUCUUUAUAUUAAAUCAAAAUCAAAAUAAAACUAAAUUAAAAUGAGGCAUUUACAUUGAAAUCAUGUUUUUACCCCCCCUAUUUAAAUGAGGUGUGGGGGGAAAGAAGGUGAAAUAAUUUUUUUUUUUGUCCCCAUAAUGAGUCCUGUUUGAUUGGUAGCCUGGAUCCCUUGUUACAAACACUUCGUGUUCAAGAUUAUAUUCUUUGGGUUUAUAGGAACAGGAAGUGCUGAAAAUGUCAAACGUCAUCAUCUCUGAAGAAAAAGAAGUUGCAAUGGCUUAAGAGUUUAGACUAAGAAGGGAGCUCAGAGAAGUACUUUCAGCAUAGGAAUGAACAGUAUUCUCAAAUCGCAGAAUACCGAGUUCCCCUCCCUCAGACGAGGGCUAUGUGUAACAAAAAGAACAAUAAGCGUAAGUAUAGUUUAAGAGCCUUUUACGUAGUAAUUCUUCCAGGCCAUAACCAUACAAAUCUGAUCAUUUAGACAUGACAAAUUUCUAUAUACAAAAAAACAUGUAACUUUCAACCCUUCUCUGCUUUUUUUUUUUUUUUUUACAAACAAAGUAUGAAACUCAUUGUUUCAACAGAUCCAUAUCUUUCAAACACUGAAUGAAUCAUUUCGACAUUCAUUUUUCUUUUGUGCAAUUUUUUAAAACAUUACCUGUACUCCUCAAAGUGAGUGCUUCAAAAUUUUGUUUUCUUCAGCUUCUCAAAUCAGGUGUACAUUUAAAAAAAAAUUCCCACAAGGUAUAGUGCUACAAGAAAAGAUCCUAUCAGUAAGGUAACAUAUUUGAAGCGAGGUCAUCUAUGUAAAAGAAAUCUCAGCUCCGGAGUAGAGGUGUGCAAGUUGUUUGGAGUUUCCCUAUGCCAGAAACACAACACUGUCCGUGGAAAAGAGAGGAAACCAACCCAACACAAUAGCAGAUGCAUGUGCUUUAUAAAAAAGUAUAUUCUCUGUAUAUUUAUUACUUGAUGUGUUCUUAAAUUCUCUAUUUCAGAAAUUCUGGGUUAAAAACAAAUGUGGAAGCAAAGGCCUCCACGCCACUUAAAACAAACAAAGUGUAAUUCUCUCCUUUCAUAUCACCACUGAAGAAACCGAAUUGGGCCAUGGAGUCUGCUGGCCCUGUUUUCACCUGGUGCAAAUUGAAGUGCAAAGGGUUUCAGAAGGCAACAGACCAGUCUGUUGAGCUGCUUGUGGUUCAUGAAACAGUAGCCAUGACAACCAACACAGCUCAAGAAGCCCGGCCUUCGGUCCCGAGAGCUCUGCUUCCUCACCCAUAUCUGAAAUAGCACGGUAUUAGUGUCUUCAAAAGCAUUGGAGAUUUUUCUCUCUAUGAAAGAAAUAGGUUUCCUUAGUAGUCACAGAUGUUAAAGGGUAUUGUCAAUCGUUUCCUUAAAAAACAAAACAAAACAAAAUCCAGAGCUACAACAACAAAAAUAAAUUUUGGCAACAUAUUUCAGUAAAGAUCAAACUAUGUGCAAAGAGUGGAUUUUAUGAUUACUAGGAGCUACUGUUCAUCUUGAACAUGCAGCAUUAUAUUGCAAUCUAUGCGGUAUCUAAGGAGUAAUCCACAAGAUGCAGGAAAUCCAAACAUUCCUUGAAAUUGUACAACCCUACUCCAGAGCAGUCAAAGUGCUGCUUCUGGACACGUCAGUGUACCACACACACACCUGCCCCGUCCCUGAGAAAGAGGUGUGAAAGGUUCCGCAGAGUCCCUUUAGGGGAGAAGGAGGGAUGCUGCCACUUCCUGGUGGGGGGAAAAAAACCCAACACACUCACCUAACAGAAAACAUAGAGGCUCAUAAUUCCAAGUUAGAAAUGGGAUCGACAACAACAGAAAUCAAAUCAUCCCAAACUAAACUGGGUGAGUUAGGGAAAACGAAAAGUUGACCAACAUAGAAAAUUAUCCUGAAAGUCCAAAUGAAAAUUCAAUUUGGAUUUCCACUUUAAAAGAUCUGAGGUAAGUGGCAUCCAUCUCUGUAUCCCUCCCUCCCCCCUCUGCCCCAGUGUGGCCCAGACAAACUGAAAUAAUUCUUAAGUUAAACAUUCUAAGGAACAGUCAUUUUAUAUAUUUAGAAAUCCCUAGAAAGAGAGGUUCUUGUUUGUUGGUUUCUUAUUAAUAGUAUUAUUUUUUUUCUUUUCGCCCUGACUAAUUUCUUGGUGAUUGUGUUCCAUUGUAAACGCAAAAGGCCUGCUGUUAUUAGUUUAAAAAUGGAAAACAGGAAAGAAAGAACAAAAGACGGCUGUCGGUAAAUAUUGCAAAGUGGACAUAGUACAGAGGCACAUGGCUGAUCCUUGUAAGCUGAACGGCACCGAAGAAUUUCUACCCCUGUCAUCGUUAAUGUUUGCUACACAGAAGCGGUGACAGAGGCUGCUCUGGGAGCCUCGGGGCCCGCCAACGUCUGCAAACAGGAGGCUCCUGCCCUCUGUGCGUUCUUCCUAUUUGAAGAGAAAGCUGCCACAAGGGAGUGGUGACCGUGGGUGGCAGGUGGUCCCCUCCACAGCCACUGGCCAACACGCUCAGAACGCACACACACAACAGGCCACACUUCCCGUCCAGGCUCAGAGGCAGGGCUCCAAGUCUCAAGGACACAGACCCCGAGGAGGGGCCUGCCCACUUGCAGAAAAGACCGUGGAAAAUGGGUUGACUCCAGGCUACAUGGCUCCAGAGUGCGUCUUAGAAAUGAAUCUGCCUCCUUCCUCUCCACACUCCACAUUCACUAUUCCGUGUGGUGACAGGGGACACUGCGGUUCCUCCCCCGGGUCUCCUUGGCUGGCUCUUUCUGCAACGUGGCGGCAGACGCACGGGGCUCCUGAAGGCUCCCCGCCCCAGCACUCAGCAUCCGCAGCAGGGGAAAGGUGGGAGGCUCUCUCCCUCCUGGCUCCUUCCCUCCAGCCCUGCUCUGGCCAGAAUGGGGAAGAUCAACCAAACAAGGAAAAAGCCAAAAGGGAAUGAGCUUUAACUAUAUAGCACACUGGUCAGACUCUAUUGGCACAGAAAGUAUUGCACAUGCUAAAAAAGCAAGAGAAUGAAAUGGGACAAGUGUUUAGAAAGAACCAAUUAUUUUAUAAUUCCUAUACCUGAAAUAGAACCACAAAAAUUAUGAUGAUGUUCCUAUUGCUCCAAACCAUGUGUGUUUUCCCAUCUUAGUGUUGGUUUAGUGGAUCCAGUCGGUUCAAUGCUCGAAGUAAGCCAAAAGGUGGUGUGUGUUUUUCUGAGUCCACAUGAGUUGUAAAUAGUGAUAUUAAUGAGAACAAAGUCUAUGUGGCAGCCCGUAUUCCUCUUACCAUCAAAGGUUAAAAAACAAAAAGAAAAACAAAACCUAAUAAUUGCAAGUGCCCUGAGCAGAAUAUAUGGAAGAUUAAGCAAGUUCUCUGAACAGAAACGUUUAAAAAAUACAGCACUAAAUAAGCAGUAUGACUGCAAGAAUGAGCCCACCCAGCUCUCUGCAAGCAUGCUGAGAGGGUAAUGAAAUUCGAGGAAAGUCAAGGAACUAUUCUAGCUAUUCUAAACCUGUUCAAAUGUUUUUGGUACACCCCAGAAAACGGUUUAUAAAAAUCGUUAGUCCUGGUGAGCCCUAAAUGUAAAUGAAUACUAGACAGCCAAAAUGUGGGUUGAUACCAGAUUUUUUUUUUUUUAAUUUGUGAGACGAAGAAAGUACUAUUUUCAAUGGGGUAAAAGAAAAAUCAGGUAUUUGUUCAGUUUAGUUGCAGCCAUCCAAGUAAGAAUAUUUAAAAAUUUCUCCCUACUUAUAAAACUUUUUUUUAAAGCACUUUAAAGAUGCAUUCAAAACCCACAAAUGAUAUUUCGGAUCUCUGGGAAUGAAAGGUUUAAAAACUAUGAAAUACCCUUUCUGGGUUUGUACCAAACAUUAAAUCUCGAUUUGAUUUUGAAUAGAAAAAAAAAGCCAUUCUGAAAAUAACAUUAAUAACAACAAUAAUAAAGUAAUUGUUUAAAAAAAAUCUUGCUCACAUAUAUAAAUGUCUUUAUGGAAAACUCUCUCAAUGAAUCUGAAGAAAAUUCUCAGAGUUUCUAAGAGCCCGCUAAGACCUGGCUUUUUGUGACAGAUGUGGUAAAAAGACCAAAAUGAAUUUUCAAAGGAACAUAACCUUAUAAAAUGGCCUAGAGUUUAGGCAGGUUAGAAAGAAAUUUUGCUACAUUUAUUUAUGCUCGUUCAGUCCCCCAAACCUUUCCCACAAUGUUAUUGGAUAAAAACUGCAGGAAUAUCACACAAAUUAUAAACUCAAUAUGUGCAAAUCGCAAGGUUCUUUAAAAGUUCAUCUUAAAAAGAAAAACACUGGACAAAAAUGAGUAUUCUCUUCUCCAUCCCUUUUCUCUCAGUUUCUCUGCCAACUCUGCAUAUGCCUUGAACUGAUUCUCAGACAUCAAAGUGAAAAGUGCCUCCCGUCAGGUAGUACUUGGUGGUCAUUUAUUGUCACAUACUAGUUCAUAAUUCACAUUCAUCCCUUUAAACCACAUUGAAACUUUCAAUAUCUUGCUCUUCAGCAAUUCUGCAGAGCUGAAAUGUAGUUACAGUGUUGAAAAAAAGAAAGCAACUUAGUUUUUUUUUGUUUUGUUUUUUUUCCCCAAAGAGUUUAAAGUGAGAUACAGUACUUGUUGAAUGAGAGACCAAGAUGCUUGGUAAUAAAGUGUGAACAGUAUUUUUAAAUGCUUAAAGAUAGUAAUAUAUGCUCAUCUUCAAAAUCUAAUUCCUCAUGUCACACUGGAAUCUGAAAAAAAAAAGUGGCACCCGAGUUGUCCAUAGUCAUGAACUAUAAACAGUACUAGAGUUCAAAGACAAAAAGAUUUCGCAAACUCAACGUGAAGAGCUUCUGUUGCUCUCACUGAAGGGCAGUUUGCAUCUACCUCUUGGGAGUGAAGUCAAUGCAAUAACCUGAUUGGUUUUCCUAACACUGCACAGAAACCAGCGUGGGUGUUCGCUCUCUCCCUCUCCCCCACCCCCAACCCCCCUUACCCCAUGUGGGGCCAUGACAGCAGGGGCUUCCCUGUCCACCACAACACCCUGGUGACAUCGCUGCACUAGUAAAAAGCAGAAAUGAAAUCCCGCAUGUGGCAGUUGCUCUUUAAAAAAAAUAUAUAUCAGUGCAGUCAGGCCCCAUAGGGGGAAAUAUAUAUCUAUACAAUUAAAAGUUGCUUUUAUUGUAAAAUAUGUUGGAGAGAAAAAUGUUCUUUUAAAUGGUUAACUUUCCAAAUCUGCCAUCUGACGCGUCUCCGCGAUGCCCUGAAGCUGGGUUCCUGAUGUUGAUUUUGCACGUGGGAACCCCAGGAGGGCACUGCUCUGAACGCCCCCGGCCCAUGCCGAUAGCAAGAGAGUGAGGCAGAGGGAGGCAGAGAAAAAGAGACCCUCACUCGCCGCCACAGCGCCUGUGCACCCCCACAUGCGUGCACCCCUGCACCCCUGCAGGACCCUUCCCACGGGACUUUUCUCCUGACACUAGCGGGGGUCAGCGCCCCCGGCUGCUUCUGUGCCGCUAGAGAAGGCAGACACUCGUGGAAAAAGCAUAUGCACCAGUCUCCUGCGACACACCUGCUGUAACUCUAAUGACAAGGUUAGAACAGAAACCUAAAAUUAAGAAGAUAACAUGUAAAUACUGUGUUAUUUUAGCCUACAGUACAGUAAUCUGGAUACAAAUGAUAAGGGAGAGCCACGUUUCCUUUCCCCCACGCCGCCUCUACUUGCCUACAUUAGACCGGCCUUCAAUGCAAAUCUUAACCUCCUGAGGAAUUAGAGAAGGCUUAGGAAGAGUCAAAGGUGGUUCGUCUUCUGACUUCUCCAGUUUGCGGCUCUCUGGCGCCGACCACCUCCUCUUCCUCGUUGCCGCGGGCUUGCUGGGUUCUAUUUUGGUGAGGAAGGGCGCUGCAGGCAAUCCCAUUUUCUCUGGAAACUUCAGUUCGCCAUUCUCAGAGAGCAUCUGGGCACUCCCCUGGUUGAUUCCGUUUUCCUGCUCGGCAUACCUGUGUCUGCUGCCCGCCAGGCCGUCGGCCUUUGAGUGCUUCAGCAGGACGCUGGCGGGAUCCACGGGCUGGCCCUUUUUAACAGAGCCGUUCUUCAGGUUCUUGAGGGUAAGCGAGAUGCAGACAUCCCCAACUGAGAGUUUGGAACACGGCAAAUCAAAGAGCUGGCUGGUUCUCUCCGGACAGCAGGAUGACCAGCCCUGUCCAAACACAAAAAAAG